AAUCUUUAACAAGAUCCUAGAGAACAUUCCCGCAAACUAAAGAAAGGCACACCUAACACACUUAAGAAGCACAAGGAACAUUGAAUAGGUGGUGCCACAAAUGAAUAACCUCAUGUCAUAACAGUUUAAAAACUAAAUACAUAGCAAAGUUUAUUGAGCUGCAAAAGAAAAAAGAUCAGUUACAUAUAAGGGCCAACACAUCAGAUUAUGGGCCGAUUUCUCAAAGGUAACUAUGGAAACAGAAAAUCCUGGAACAGUGCAUUUCAAGUCCUAAAAGACCACGAUAGCCAACCUAAACUAAUAUACCCUGCAAGACUAAUUUUCAUAACGGAAAGAACAAAAUACACCUCUCAUUACCCUUUUACCUCCCCUGUAUUGAUUGACCUUCUCUAUUUUCUUCAUUUACAUUUCCAAUGCUAUCCCAAAAGUCCCCCAUACCCUCCCCCCCACUUCCCUACCCACCCACUCCCACUUCUUGGCCCUGGUGUUCCCCUGUACUGAGGCAUAUAAAGUUUGCAAGACCGAUGGGCAUCAAAUCUUUAACAAGAUCCUAGAGAUCUUGUCCCCAUCCAUCAAUACAUAUCUAUUCUAUUUCCCUUUCCUAGGCAGGUCUAUCUUCUCUGCUGCUUCUAUACUUAACUUCUGUAGAGUCUAGCUUGCUUAUUCUUGAUUUUUAGCAGCUAAUAUUCACCGAAAGAAUAUGGUACUAUAUUUGUCUUUCGAGAUACCAGUCAUGAUAUUUCUUCUAGUUCUACCCAUUUACUGAUGUUUUCAUAAUUUAAUUUUAAUGGUGAAAUAAUAUUUUACUGUGUAAUGCAUGGCAUUUUCUUUAUCUAUUCAUAUUUUUAGGGACUUUAGGGUUAUUUCCAUUGUCCAGUUAUUGUGAAUGAACCAACAAAGUGUUUGAGCAAGUCUCCUUGUGGAAUGAUGAAGCUCAAAUGCCCCUUGAAUAUAUGCCCACGAGGGGUAGAGCUGAAUGUUCAGGUUGAUUGAUCCUCAUCUUCCUGAGGAACAUCCAUAUUGAUUUCUAUAGUGAUUGUAUAAGUUUUACCUGUGACAAACAAUGGAUAAGUGUUUUCCUUGCUCUACAUCCUCACCAAUAUGAGCUGUCACAUGCUUUAUUAAUCUAAAUCAUUAUUUGUAGAAUAAAUUGAAAUAGUUUUUAUUUUCAUUUCCUGAUGACUAAGGAUGUUCAACAUUUUUAUAUGUGUUUCUCAAUGAUUUCAGGUUUCACUUUUGUGUAUGUUUAUAACUGUUCCUCACUUUUAACUGGUUUAUUUGGGUCUGUUUGCCAUAUAGUAUUUUGCAUUAUUUAUUUAUUUUGUACAUUUGCUUUUUAUUGGAUGUGGUAUUGGUUAAAAAAAAAUCUUCUCCCGUUCUUUAGGCUUCCACUUUGUCUGAAUAAUGGGAUAUUUUGCCAUAUACAUUUAGAGUUUAUCAAAUAUUGAUCUUAGGCACUUUAUUAAUGGUGUUUUGCUAAGAAAGCCUUUUCCUGUACCAAUGAUUUCAAGGCUAUUGCCUACUUUCUCUUUCGCAGGUUCAGUGUAUCUGGUUUUAUAUUGAGUUCUUUAAUUUACUUGAAUUGGAGUUUUGUGCAGAGUGAUAGAUAAAUAUGUAUGUCUUUGUAUUCUUCUACUUGCAGAUAUGUAGUUUUACCAGCACCAUUUGUUGAAGAUGUAGUCUUAUUUCUAGUCUGUAUUUCUGGAUAUUUUAUCAGAAAUUAGGUGUUUGCAGAUACAUAUAUGCAUGUCUGGGUUUUCAAUUUGAUUCCAAUGAUCAAUGUGUUGUUUCUGUGCCAAUACCAUACUGUUUUUAAAUUCUAUAUUUUUGUAGUAUAAAUUCUAAUUACUGAGAGUGAUAACUACCACAGUUGUUUUAUUAUUCAGGAUUGCUUUAGUUGACCUGGGUUUUGUGUUUCCAUAUGAGUCUGAAACUUGUUCUUUCAAAAUCUGUGAAGAAUAGUGUUGAAAUUUUGAUGGAUAUACUACUGAAUCUGUAGAGUCAUUCUUUAGAUGGCAAUUUUGAUUAUAUUAAUGCUCCUGAUCCGUGAGCAUGGAAGAUCUUUGCAUCUUUUAAUACUUUCUAAGUAUCUUAAAAUACUUAUAUGCUUGAUUAGAGAUACCCCAAGAUAUUUUAUAUUGUUUGAAGUCAUCAAAAAGUGAAUUCCCCUGAAUUUCUUCUCUGUCCAUUUGUCAUUAAAUAUAGGAGGGCUACUGAUUUUUGUAACUUAAUUUUGUAUUCAGCUAUUUUUGCUGCAAGUGGUAGCAGUUGUAGGAGUUUCUUAGUGUAACUUUUGGGGUCACUUAUAUAUAAUAUACAUAUGCAUUUAAUGAUAUAUUUACUUUUUUCCAAUUUAUAUCCUCAUUGACUUCUUUCAGUUGUUUUAUUGCUCUAGCUAGGACUUCAAGUUCUAUGUUGUUUACACAGGGAGAGAACUGAACCCUUGUGUUAUUCCUAAUUUUAGUGGGAUUAUCUGGAGUUUCUUUCUUUUCCUAUUAAUGUUUGGUAUGUUCGUGCUUUAAACUGACCUUGUGUCCCUAAUGUCCUUUUUCAUAAAUAUUAAUGGACUUAAUUUGCCAAUUAAAAGGCACAGAGUGACUAAAUGGAUGAAGAAACAAAAUCUCUUUACCUAUUGUCACUAGAACCACCAACAAAUAGAAAAAAAUACCACAAUAAAAGAGGACCUGGAAGGAGGUAGACAUCACUAUCCUCAUAUGUGACAAAUGUGCUUUAAACUAAAAAAAAACCCAUUAGAUGAGAUAAAGAGGAGCACUUCAUCCUAAUCAAGGGAAUAGUUAACCAAUAAUUAAGUACUAUCCUAAAUUUAUGUACAUAAAACUCUUGUGCAUUAAAUUUAAUUUUUAAAAUGUAUUACUGUAUUUAAUGAUACCCAUUAGUGUAAAACAUUAAUAGUGAGUGUUUUCAUUAUCCCAUUUUUUUCCAAAUGAGCUUGUAAUCUGUAUAGAAAAUAAAUCAAAAAUCAGAAACACAUGCCAUCAUACAUCAAAAAGACUUUAGAUGUAUCUUCAAAAUAUCAUACCUAAACACCAAAGAAUAGAUUGUAUUCUCAGAAAAACAAGCAAUGUCUCUAAAAUUUUCACCAUCUUUGUAUAUAAAACAAAUUAUAAUAAAUUCAAAGAUAUUAAUAUGUUUGUUUCCUAUCUAACCAUAAUACAAUGAAACAGAAAAUUGCCAGCAAUCAAAUCUUCAGUAAAUUCAUAAACUCACGAAGUUUCAACCACUAAUUCAUUAAUGAUGAAAGCAUGAAAGAAUAAAUC
rnacentral:lncRNA from 1 species